UCCGUGAAUUGAGCUCCAUAGAGUCACAAUGCCACCCAUCAGCUGUCCCACUGGGAGACCUGCAGGAGCUGGAAGAGCUGCCUUGCCAAAAGAAAGACCACUGCUGUAAAGCUGCUAACCUUUACCAGAGCUGUACGCAGCCCAGCCAGCAGGAAUUAAAACACAAUUGACCGUGAUUGGAAGAAAUUCAGUAGUGACACAUUAGCAACAAGGACGUGUGCAGAUGAGCAGCAGCACCAGCCCUUGCUAAUAUUCAUGUGCUCAGAGAAGCAGUAAUAAUAAUAAUAAUAAUACUAUCUUCAGACCUCAAUCUACCCAUUAUUUCAUUCCUUGAACAAGGUUAGGGGUCACUUCUAAAAUAACAACUGCAAAUGAAAGGCAAUUACAUGGAAUAAAAAAUGACCAGUGAUGGGAAGAGCCAGCCAGUGCAUGGACUGCUGGUGACAUGUCAUUGUAGUAUGACAAUAUGCCAAGUCAAAGUCAACACAGAGAUAAAUAAGGACGAGUGACUGUAUUCCAGUAUCUGGAGAUGUCUCAGGAAAUGAACAUCAAAGGUUAAACCACCUACUUUGUUAUUGCUUCUACUGCUCCUGCUAUUGUUAUUUGUCUUCUGGUAUCACCAAGAGGCUUCAACCAAGAUUAAGGCCAUUGUGUUAGGCACAAGAUAAAUAUGCACAGGAAGAGAAAGUUCCUGUUUUAAAAACUCCAAGCCUAAUGGAUAAGAUGAGCAAGAAGCUGAAGAAAAACAGAGAGAAACAGAUGAGAAAUGGCUCAGAGUCACUCAGCAAGUCAGUAAGAGAGCUCCUAUUCUAUUAAUUGCUGCAAGGAUUUGAAUGGGCCAAAACUGAGAGUAUGGCGUAUACUAUUAUGUUUACUGUUUCAAGAUGUGACAAUUCUGUAAGCUCUUCCACACACAGUGACAGCCACAUGCAGAGGGCUGUGAGAUUGGGAUACAUUCAGCUAAUACAGAGUAUCUUCACCUUGU